UGGAGGCAGCAGUAAGGAAUCUUGCGCAAUGGGCGAAAGCCUGACGCAGCAACGCCGCGUGCGGGAUGAAGGCUCUCGGGUCGUAAACCGCUUUCAGCAGGGACGAAAAUGACUGUACCUGCAGAAGAAGCCCCGGCUAAAUACGUGCCAGCAGCCGCGGUAAUACGUAUGGGGCAAGCGUUAUCCGGAUUUAUUGGGCGUAAAGAGCGCGUAGGCGGUUUGUCAAGUCGGAUGUGAAAACCGGGGGCUCAACCCGCGGCCUGCAUCCGAAACUGGCAGACUUGAGUCUGGUAGAGGAAAGUGGAAUUCCUAGUGUAGCGGUGAAAUGCGUAGAUAUUAGGAGGAACACCAGUGGCGAAGGCGGCUUUCUGGGCCACGACUGACGCUGAGGCGCGAAAGCUAGGGGAGCAAACAGGAUUAGAUACCCCGGUAGUCCC
rnacentral:rRNA from 1 species